GAUGAAGAACGCAGCGAAAUGCGAUAAGUAAUGCGAAUUGCAGAAUUUCCGUGAGUCAUCGAAUCUUUGAACGCACAUUGCGCCCAUUGGUAUUCCGAUGGGCAUGCCUGUUCGAGCGUCAUUAUCCUCCCUCAAGCCUAGCUUGGUGUUGAGGCCUGCUGUCAAGGCAGCCUCUAAAAUCAGUGGCAGUGCUGUCAGGCUCUAAGCGUAGUAAAUCUAAUCGCUAUAGACACCUGGUGGACACUCGCCAGAACCCCCCCAUUUUUUAAUGAUUGACCUCGGAUUAGGUAGGGAUACCCGCUGAACUUAAGCAUAUCAAUAAGCGGAGGA
rnacentral:misc_RNA from 1 species